ACCCAGAGGACGAGUUCCAAAUAGGACGAAAUGCGCAUCUUGCAU
rnacentral:hammerhead_ribozyme from 1 species